rnacentral:rRNA from 1 species
ACUGCUCAGUAACACGUGGACAACCUGCCCUUAGGACGGGGAUAAACCCGGGAAACUGGGUAUAAUACCCGAUAGGUCUCGAUUGCUGGAAUGCAUCGAGAUUUAAAGCUCCGGCGCCUAAGGAUGGGUCUGCGGCCUAUCAGGUAGUAGUGGGUGUAGCGUACCUACUAGCCUACGACGGGUACGGGUUGUGAGAGCAAGAGCCCGGAGAUGGAUUCUGAGACACGAAUCCAGGCCCUACGGGGUGCAGCAGGCGCGAAAACUUUACAAUGCUGGCAACAGCGAUAAGGGAACCUCGAGUGCCAGGUUACAAAUCUGGCUGUCGAGAUGCCUAAAAAGCAUUUCAUAGCAAGGGCCGGGCAAGACCGGUGCCAGCCGCCGCGGUAACACCGGCGGCUCGAGUGGUAACCGUUAUUAUUGGGUCUAAAGGGUCUGUAGCCGGCCGGAUAAGUCUCUUGAGAAAUCUGGCAGCUUAACUGUCAGGCUUUCAGGAGAUACUGUCUGGCUCGAGGCCGGGAGAGGUGAGAGGUACUUCAGGGGUAGGGGUGAAAUCUUGUAAUCCUUGAAGGACCACCAGUGGCGAAGGCGUCUCACCAGAACGGACCUGACGGCAAGGGACGAAAGCUAGGGGCACGAACCGGAUUAGAUACCCGGGUAGUCCUAGCCGUAAACGAUACUCGCUAGGUGUCGGCCACGGUGCGACCGUUGUCGGUGCCGUAGGGAAGCCGUGAAGCGAGC